CCAUCAAUAAUGAAUUAGUAAAUAACAUCACUGAAUAACUUAAGUGAAACAAAUAUUUAAAAAAUACAUCAUUAACAACAACUACAUGAAGUGUGAUUGAAGUGCUACUCGAAAAGGCUACAGAACAGGGUAGAAAUCAGCUAUUGAAUUGCAGUCUGAACAAGAAAUGCAGUGACUUUUUGUUUGCCCUCAAAGCUGGAUUUCAAUUUUCGCUAAUUGUUCAAUAAUCACCAUUAUCAGCAGCUCAAUGCUUCAUAUUUCACUGGCAUCGGGUAGUUAAAUCUUGUCUGGGAAAGCAAAUUGCCAACCACCGUAAGGUCCCUGUAGAAAACUCCUUGAAACACUAACGGUGGUGGUGUUGUAAUGGCUGCAUUUUUCUCGAUCCGAUGAGUACCACAGCCAUUAGAUGUAUCUGAAUCUGAAAUGGCCACCGGACUUGAUUCGACUCUGGUGGAGUAUUGUUCUUGAGCAUGUUGAACUUCUUGAGCCUGUUGAACUUGCAUUGCAGCCUUUCUUUGCUUUUCAAUCACCUUGUCAUCCAAAAUCGUCCCCAUUACACUAGUAUAACCCUUAGAAUCAAUCUACACAAAAAACAAAAGCAUAGCAGACAUUUUUGCUCUAUCGCUAAUUGAAUCUUUACUCCCAUUAUCUGCAAAUUCACACCUAUCAAUGAAACUGGAAUAUUUAUCAAGGUGUUAACAACAAAUGAUUUUUGGGCAAUGCUUGUGAGGACCAGUGUUUGACGGCAACACCUUUUGGCGAAUAUGUGGCGCGACGACCGGAGAUGUUUCAUUCUCUGGCUCCUCGAUUUUUGGAUUUUCAAUUGUGUGAGAGAGAAGUUCUUGAUUUAUAGAUUUCUUCCACUUUUUUUUAACGACCACAGUCGGUUGGUUCACUGAUCGGAGAUGAAGGUUUGAGAUUUGGGGGUUUCAAAUGUGGGGGUUGGAGGUGCCGAAUGUUGGAGAGAGAGUGUG
rnacentral:lncRNA from 1 species